UACGGAGGGGGCUAGCGUUGUUCGGAAUUACUGGGCGUAAAGGGCACGUAGGCUGGCUGUUAAGUCGGUGGUGAAAUCCUGAGGCUCAACCUCAGAAUUGCCUUCGAUACUGACGGUCUUGAGUGCGGGAGAGGUGAGUGGAAUUCCCAGUGUAGAGGUGAAAUUCGUAGAUAUUGGGAAGAACACCAGUGGCGAAGGCGGCUCACUGGCCCGCAACUGACGCUGAGGUGCGAAAGCGUGGGGAGCAAACAGGAUUAGAAACCCCCGUAGUCC
rnacentral:rRNA from 1 species